rnacentral:ncRNA from 1 species
AUGAAGGUUCGCUUAGCCGCGAUUAAUUGGGAAUGGGGUGUGAAUCCCCGACUGUCCCGCAGCUGUGAGCUCUGUUAUGGCUCUGAAGCACGCUAGCCAUUGUCGUAUUGACGAGAAGGCGCCUCGGAGUGGAGCAAAGUCAGAAGACCAGCCUUUGAUUG